AUCAUCAAAAGAGAGAUGAACAAAUAGCACCCAAGAGAAAGCAUGAGCUUAUUCCCGCUCAAGGCAAGCGAAUCAAGACCACGUCGACUUCCUCCGAUUCGACCGAUGCAGAAGAGAAUGAUCGAGAAACUUGCGAAGGCAGCAAUUCGUAGCAUCACGACUCCUCCUCAUCUUCCGCCAUCCGACACCACCACCGAUCUCUGACGAAACGGAAGAUCGCCACCUGCCGACGGAGGCGACGAGCGAAUCGACGGCUACGGAGACCGGCGAGCGGGAGGCGACGGACUACCACUGCCGACCGAUGCAAUGGAAACUAGUAAAGCAGCUCGGGGUGAACGAUUCUCUCCUGAGGUUCUGGGCUUCAUGUAGAUUGCUGUAGAUCAGCUCGAUUUUGAAUUCGAUUCGUACGGCGCUGCAAUUGUGCGGGAGCUUGAGGGAUGUGUCCGUGAAUUUGUUAGAGAGAUGUUGAAUAAGGUGCUUCUUCGUAAGUUUAGUCUGUGGAUGCUUGGUAGUGAUUUCACUGGCAAUCGACGUUACGCGCUGCGAAAUCAGCAACGAUCCCUAGAAGGUUGGGACUCCCUUACGCGAAACCAGGCAUUGCAGCGGACAACCAGCCACAGUGGUGUUAAGGAGGGGUUGCUUUUGAGGUGUCUAGGAAAUGUGGAUAUGUAGCAUGUACAAUUCAUACAGAUAUGCAGCGGGUGAAAGGUUUUCCAGGACUAUUGAAUUGUGAGAAACUUCGAUCGCUAGGAUAGGGCUCUGUCUUUAUGUUUUGUGCAGCACUUGAAGAGGCAAAACCAUUCAGGAAUGAAGAAGAUGCAGUGAGAUAGCAAGCCACUAGGAAAGGUUCCUGGACAGUCUGAGUCCUUCUACCAAUUGUUGACUUUGGCAUCUACGGAGAAUUAAAAACCAAAUUUACUUGGAGCAUGAGUUGUGCCCAUGGAUAACUGGUUAGGUGGUUAUUUUCUUUCUCCCAGUGGACUG